AAGGUUUGAUAUUCGAUAUUCUGCUCACCCAAUUCUUUAGCCUUGAGAAGGAACAGCAAGUUACCUCUGUAAACAUUCCCAUGGGAGAGUUCCAUCUGAAAACUUUUACAGAGGUGACAUUAGAUGUAAUCCUGACGGAACUGAAUAAAGUGGUAGAAGAGGACAUGGAAGAUCUCUUGAUAUGUGAAAGAGCAACUGGGGAAGAAAGGAAACUGAAGUAUGUUAACAGAAGCUCCUAGAAACUGAAAAGGGAAUGGUUAAUACUGUAUAAGGUAAUGAUCCUUCAGAAUGGAAUUGUUAAUGAAGUGGCUCCCCAGGUUUAUCUGUAUUGUAUUUUUUGAAUGUGAUGGACUUAAUUCAUUAUAUAUCUUUCCUGUACUUAUUGAUGUAAACCUGCACUUAAAUUUGUACUAUAUUAUAAUGCAAUAUUUGAAAGAAUAGAGAGCAAAAGAGCUACUGAUUAAUGUAUUGUUUUCGCGAUGUCUAUGCUUCUUCUGCGGAUACUUACAUAUUUGUGUGUGUGAUGGAUAUUAUUUUAUGUUUAUUUUAAUUCCCCCUGUGAU